rnacentral:tRNA from 1 species
AUCUAGUAGUCUAAUGGUGAUGUCUGUUUUACACGCAGGGGGUGGAUUGUGUCCCGAUUGUUG